CUGCAGAUAUUCUUGCUGUUCUGAUUUUUAUAAUAAUCAGGGCAGGCUAAACAUUUGCUAUAUUAAGACCAUGCAUGUGUCCCCAGACCUAGUUAUUUCACUGGGUCUGGUUUUAUAAAUGCUGGUGAUAAAC
rnacentral:snoRNA from 1 species